rnacentral:misc_RNA from 1 species
UACGUAGGGACCAAGCGUUGUUCGGAUUUACUGGGCGUAAAGGGCGCGUAGGCGGCGUGUCAAGUCAAUUGUGAAAUCUCCGGGCUUAACUCGGAACGGUCAAUUGAUACUGAUGUGCUAGAGUGCAGAAAGGGCAACUGGAAUUCUUGGUGUAGCGGUGAAAUGCGUAGAUAUCAAGAGGAACACCUGAGGCGAAGGCGAGUUGCUAGGCUGACACUGACGCUGAGGCGCGAAAGCUAGGGGAGCGAACGGG